GUGCUUGCUUCACCAGCACAUAUACUAAAAUUGGAACAAUGCAGAGAAGAUUAGCAUGGUCCCUACACAAGGAUGACAUGCAAAUUUGUAAAACGCUCCAUAUUUUU